ensembl:lncRNA
GGGGGAUUGUUUAUUGAGAUGAACUUCACUGUGGACUCGAUUUCCUUAACCAGCCUUGCUCUGCCAGGUCGAUUUCUUCCCGGUUCCCGUGCGCUCACCCAUAUCGUCUUUCUGAGUCUUGGCAGUCCUGGACACAUGCUGUUCCCAGGUGGUGAGGGUGCGCCACCCUCAAGACAAGCCGAAGCCAUACAGACAAGUCAGCCAGGUCCAGACAGCGGGGGCUGUUUGUAGACGAGGCUGAACUCUUUUUGUGAAGUUUGCCUUUUAUAAAGGAAGUUCUCCAGAUGUUAGUUUAGAAGCUGAUGGGAGUGUUGAAGAAUUAUUAAUGAGCAGUUCAAGGAUAACAGCUUUCCAUCAGGAUUCCAAUGGCUCCUGUGCUGUGGGUAGUGACUUUCUCGCUGUGCCAGUCUCCUGAACCCAGUGGGGUGUCAGAGAGAAACGGGGUGCCCCACUUCCCAUUCACGAGCCGAUGAUUCAGCCUCCGACCUUAAAAUGACUUACAGGUGACUGAGACCGUCUUAAUUUUGAAUGCGUUAUGCUGUCCUUGAGGAGGAAGCACGGUGGCAACAGGAGGCGACCCAGACUCAGUGAGAAUCCCGGCGCCUGCCAUCUCUGCUGGUUCACAUUCACGCUAGGACUCUGUGUCCUCGUCUGAAAAAUCAGGAUGGACUUGGUUAUCUAUUGCUGAAUCACAAAAUCAACCCAGCACUUAGGGGCUGUAACAGUAACAGUAUUAUUAACAGUCUCUCUCCUCAUUGUAGCGGUGCAGUGGGCCAGGCUGGGCAAGUCUCACUCAGGUCUCCGGGGUCUGGUGUCUGGAGCCGGAGAGGACGAGCUCCCAAGAGCUGAUUGUUAAAUUGUCAGGAAUUUUGCCAGCCAGUUGGUAAACACAGGCAUCAUUAAAAAUUAAAUUAUAUAAACUUACAAUUAAAUAAAUCAUAUUAAAAACAGAGGCAAUAAAUUCCCAAAACCUAUCAGUUCCAAAUUAUUUUACUCUAUAUUACUAUUAUUUAUGCCCCCAAGGUUAUUUCCAUCUCUUGCAUCCGUAUGUGGAAAUACCAUAUACUGGUGUGCUCUUGGGCAUUUCUUCCCAACUUUGUGUACAACGACACCAUGCUGGUAGCUUGACUCUGGCCGUGAUGGAAGUAUUUACUCCACAGAAGUUGGCCAGUGCUGCAAAUCAGGGUUUUAAAUUUUUUUCCAGAAAGCAAGCUGUUGAACACUUACCAGCACCGCUGGCUAUCCUUUAUUAGAAGAUAGUGGUCACACUGAGCAAGAGCAGGUGGGAUGGGACACAUACAUUGAAGUGACCGUCUUUGAGAAACACGACCUAUCCCCAGGAAAAUGGAAGGAUUGUAGCGGAGAUUAGACAUAAUUUAUGCAAAGUUGUUUCACUUAGUACCAGAGACGUUGAUUCCUAAUAAAUUGCAGCUAUUGUGAUUACACACCUGACUGUGCUCAGCAUGGCAGAGAACCUCUAGGAAGGGCUUUUCCAUGUGCUGACAUCCCACCACUAGGCAGUGAGCUACUUGAGGGAAAGGGCUGGCAUCUUCAUUCACCCGUAUCCCUGAAGCCCAGCACACAAGGUGCGGACUCAUUAAAUCUCUGUUGAAUGGAUGAGAAAUCUCGUGGCCAUCUAGAAGCUCAUCCCAAGCAGCUGAUGGAGGCCUCAGGCGCUUACAAAGCUGGAGCUGUUGAGCACACAAGCUAUUCCAGCUGCAGAAGUCUCUAGCAUUAUCUUGUGGGUAUUCCGUCCAUUUUGCAUGCAGGCAUCACUGGCUGGGUCUGCAG